rnacentral:rRNA from 1 species
GACGAACGCUGGCGGCGUGCUUAACACAUGCAAGUCGAACGGAAAGGCCCUGCGUUUGUGGGGUGCUGGAGUGGCGAAAGGGGGAGUAACACGUGAGUAACCUGCGCUUGACUUUGGGAGAACAGCAGGAAACAGGGGCUAAUAUAGGAGAGGAGACCCGGCACCGCGGGGGGGGGUGGAAAGUUGGGGCGGUUGGGGAUGGACGGGCGGCUUAUCAGCUUGUUGGUGGGGUAGUGGCUUGCCAAGGCUUUGGCGGGUAGCCGGCCUGAGAGGGUGACCGGCCACACUGGGACUGAGAUACGGCCCAGACUCCUACGGGAGGCAGCAGUGGGGAAUAUUGCACAAUGGGCGGAAGCCUGAUGCAGCAACGCCGCGUGCGGGAUGACGGCCUUCGGGUUGUAAACCGCUUUCGCCUGUGACGAAGCGUGAGUGACGGUACUGGGUGAAGAAGCACCGGCUAACUACGUG